GGGCUGGUAGCUCAGUUGGUUAGAGCGGGGGACUCAUAAUCCCUAGGUCGUGGGUUCAAGUCCUACCCAGCCUA
rnacentral:tRNA from 1 species